rnacentral:rRNA from 1 species
CCGACGGUGAGAGGUGAAAGCUGGGGGAGCAAACCGGAUUAGAUACCCGGGUAGUCCCAGCCGUAAACGAUGUGCGUUAGGUGUAUCGGUGACCACGAGUCACCGAGGUGCCGAAGAGAAAUCGUGAAACGUACCGCCUGGGAAGUACGGUCGCAAGGCUGAAACUUAAAGGAAUUGGCGGGGGAGCACCACAACAGGUGGAGCCUGCGGUUUAAUCGGACUCAACGCCGGGAAACUCACCAGAUAAGACAGCUGAAUGAUAGUCGGGCUGAAGACUCUACUUGACUAGCUGAGAGGAGGUGCAUGGCCGUCGUCAGUUCGUACUGUGAAGCAUCCUGUUAAGUC